rnacentral:rRNA from 1 species
UAGGCCGUUUCAGUCGAGUCGGGUAGUUUGGGAAUGCUGCUCUAAUCGGUGGUAAAUCUCAUCGAAGGCUAAAUACUGGUAGGAGACCGAUAGCGAACAAGUACCGUGAGGGAAAGAUGAAAAGCACUUUGAAAAGAGGGUGAUAAGAACCUGAAACCGUUACGAGGGAAGCGGAUUGCAUCGAGUUGAUGGGUGUCUGUGUUUUCAGCCAGAAAUAUAAUUUUUGUGGUGUAUUGAUGCAGAUACUUACCCGUCGUGGGUUUUUUGGUAGCCGAUUUUGGGCUGCUAAAGACUGUGGGAUCCCCUUUAUUGGGUGAGGACGAUGGGGCAGCGGUGCGAUACGACCCGUCUUGAAACACGGACCAAGGAGUCUAGCGCUGCUGCGAGUCGACGGGACUUGAAUCCUAGAGGCGCAGUGAAAGCGAGUUCUUACAAAAUUCUGCAAUUUGAGGGGGCAUGAAAUCGUUGAUUUCAAGUCUCACCUAGAGCAGUAGCGCUAGGACCCGAAAGAUGGUGAACUAUGCCUGAGUAGGGCGAAGCCAGAAGAAAUUCUGGUGGAGGCUCGUAGCGGUGCUGACGUGCAAAUCGCUCGUCGAACUUGGGUAUAGGGGCGAAAGACUAAUCGAACCAUCUAGUAGCUGGUUCCCCCCGAAGUUUCUCUCAGGAUAGCGGGCUGACAUGACGUUGUUUUGUGCGGUAAAGCGAAUGAUUAGUGCAUUUGGGGGCGUUCAGCCUUCGGGCAAUUCUCAAACUUUAAAUGCGCAAGUGGCGCC